GCCUCCGUGGCUUAGUGGCUAUAGCGCCUGACUUGUAAUCAGGAGGUCGCGAGUUCAACUCUCGCCGGGGGCU
rnacentral:tRNA from 1 species